rnacentral:miRNA from 1 species
CGUGCGUGCGUGCGUGUGCGUGUGUGUGUGUGUGUGUGUGUGUGUGUGUGUGUGUGUGUAAUCCCACCAACCACCCAGA